GAUGAACGCUGGCGGCGUGCCUAACACAUGCAAGUCGAGCGGCAGCGAGGGGUGCUUGCACCCUGUCGGCGAGCGGCGGACGGCUGAGUAACGCGUGGGAACGUGCCCCAAAGUGAGGAAUAACUCCCCGAAAGGGUAGCUAAUACCGCAUAUUAUCUUCGGAUCAAAGGAUUUAUCCGCUUUGGGAGCGGCUCGCGUCGGAUUAGGUAGUUGGUGAGGUAAUGGCUCACCAAGCCGACGAUCCGUAGCUGGUCUGAGAGGAUGACCAGCCAGACUGGAACUGAGACACGGUCCAGACUCCUACGGGAGGCAGCAGUGAGGAAUCUUCCACAAUGGGCGAAAGCCUGAUGGAGCAACGCCGCGUGCAGGACGAAGGCCUUCGGGUUGUAAACUGCUUUUAUAAGUGAGGAAUAUGACGGUAACUUAUGAAUAAGGAUCGGCUAACUACGUG
rnacentral:rRNA from 1 species